UACAGAGGGGGCAAGCGUUGUUCGGAAUUACUGGGCGUAAAGGGCGCGUAGGCGGCCUUCUAAGUCGAACGUGAAAUCCCUGGGCUCAACCCAGGAACUGCGUCCGAUACUGGAAGGCUUGAAUCCGGGAGAGGGAUGCGGAAUUCCAGGUGUAGCGGUGAAAUGCUUAGAUAUCGUCAAGAACACCGAUAGUGAAGACAGCUUACUAGACUUCAGCUGACGCUGAGGCACGAAAGUGUGGGGAUCAAACAGG
rnacentral:rRNA from 1 species